GCAUCGCGGGAUUUUCGCAAGUGCUCUUGAGUUCAACUUGUGCUUUUGAUCUGGAAUAUUGAAAAACUAUCAACUUCAGCAAGACGCUGAUUAAAACUGACAUGCCACCCAAAAAGAGAAAAUCGGAAGGCGAAAAUGGAGCCGCCGCAAAGCGGGGUCGAAAGAAGAAGACGGCGGCACAAAAAGGCGACGAUUUUUCAGACUCGGACAAAGAGCCGGCUGAUAUAGACCACGAAGAUGACGAUCUCAACCUUUCGACGGACGGCGGAUAUUCCGAAGUCAGGAUCGAAGGCUCUCAGGUAAGCGGAGAACUGCUGUUUUGUGGCGGAACAAACUGGGACCUCAUUGGACGCAACCAAGUUCCCAAAGGAGUCAAGAAUCUUGGUGGACCAAACUUAUGGGGACCUCACAGGAUAGAAGGCUGGUCUGAUAUCAAGGUCCGGACUGUUGCAUCAGGGUGCACGGCUUGCCACAGUAUCAUUAUAACUACAGAAGGAAAAGCCUACAGCUUUGGUCGCAAUGACAAAGGUCAGCUAGGUCAUGGCGACACAAAGAGAAGAGACCUCCCCACACUCAUCGAAUUCCUCAAGGACUUUAACAUAGUGGAUGCAGCUCUAGGAAAGAACCAUAGUUUAUGUCUCUCUGACAGGGGGACUGUGUUUGCCUUUGGAGAGAAUAAAAUGGGCCAACUUGGGCUGAAUAAUCAGACACAGUGCGUGCCAACACCAACAAGGAUUAAAUACAAAGGUCCCCCAAUUCGCAGAGUGGCGUGUGGUGGAGAGUUCAGCAUGAUAGCAGACAUUAGGGGGAAUCUGUACUCAUUUGGGAGCCCAGAGUGUGGACAGCUUGGCCAUAACACAGAUGGUCAGUAUUUCGUAACCAGCAGUAAACUGGCCUACGCCUGUGAGAUAAGGCCACGAAAGGUUGCCGUGUUCAUUGAGAAGUCACGGGAGGGCGUACAACCAGUAAAUGAUGUAGAUGUACAGGACAUUGCAUGUGGGAUCAACCAUACUGUUAUUUUGGAUUCCAAGAACCGUGUAUUUUCUUGGGGGUUUGGCGGCUAUGGGCGUCUUGGUCACACAGAGCCAAAGGACGAGUUGGUCCCCAGGUUGAUCAAAUUCUUUGAUGGACCAAAGCGAGGUGCAAAGGUCAUUGCUGCAGGGACUUGUUAUUCUAUGGCAAUCAGUGAACUAGGACAGCUAUACCUGUGGGGGCAGACCAAGUCCACGGGGGAAGUGGCCAUGUACCCCAAACCUGUCAAUGACCUUCAGGGCUGGAAUGUCCGCAGUAUAGGCUGCAGUAACAGGAGCAUUGUUGUGGCGGCAGACGACAGUGUUAUAAGCUGGGGACCCAGUCCAACCUAUGGCGAAUUGGGUUAUGGUGAAGACAAGCCAAAGUCCUCCACUCAGCCACAAGAGGUGAAGAAACUGACAGGCAUCUUCAUAGAAAAGGUAUCCUGUGGAUACGGACACACGCUUAUGAUUGCCAAAAAUGACACAGAAGAAGCAAGAGAACAACUCAAGAAACUGCCCCAGGUUGCUUUUACCAACGAGCUGUCGUAGAUUAGGUGCAGUAAGACUGACAAGACUGUUAGAAUAGAAUUCAGCCACUUUCUGAAGUGGGCCUAAUACUUUUACAUGUUAGAGGUAAUAUUAUUUAGUAGUUGGAUAAUGAUGAAAUAGUUUUUUAUGUCAUUUUUUUUUUCACUCUGAUAUCAUAUAUCAGAGUAAUCUGAGGAAUACAUCAGAAAAAUUUGUAAAAAUUAGACCAUUUUAUCGUAUUAUCACAAAUAUAUUCAGCCAGUGUAUAUAUUGUAGGUGAAAUUACAACCAAGAAAUGCUGACUCACAGCCAUUUCUACACCAAUUGUCAGGGAUAAAAAAAUGUACCAUGAAGACUCGUAGCUUUGCACUUUAUUGUUGAUAUAUGAAAUAACGCCAUAAGAUUUUUAGGUCUUCAUUUUCUAUCUGUAAUUAUGUUGAAUAUUACCUAACAUCUUAUCUAGUCUUCGUAUCACUUUAACAGUGGCAGGUACACCUUCUGUAACAAUGCAAUAUCUGUUAACAAAUGUUUAGCAAUUGUUUAGGGACAGACAGUUAAUCUUUUUCAACAUCUGAUGUGCCUUAUUUGUGUAAAACUACUUGACAUUAAGAAAUCCAGCAAAGAAAAACCAGUACAAGAUAACUUAUGAAAAAUUGGCCAAUAAUAUCUUUUUUUAAAGUUAAGGCUAAGAUUAACCCCACAAUGGACUUCAUAAUGUUAAAAGGAAAAUGGCAUCUUUGAUUUCAAGUUCUUUGGAUAACAGGAAAUUUGCAUUCUACUAGCUUCAGCAUCAGCUGCAGGGAUGUUACAGGAGAUCCUUAUAAAACUUUGAAAUGGGCAUUCAGUCACAUAGUUUACAUAAACCAGUUUCUAUUUCAUAUGGACAGAUUUGUUGAAAUGACCAGAUUGGAAUCCUUUCCUCCCCCACCCCCCAAAAAAUAAAUAAAUAAAUAAUAAUUGCAAGGGAUCUCGUGUAGAGGAAUGGUGCUGACAUAUUCUCAUAUCACCUACCUCCCAUUUAAAAAAUAUAUAUAUAUAUGAUGUAGAUAUAUAAAAUGAAAGACCGAGCGAGAAAAUAGUCAAUUAAAAAGAAUGUAUAACAAUAAUAAAGAAAAUAAAAUAAAAGUCAGCACUUUGUAAAAGCAUGAAAUGUACAAAACGGUUUCUUUUGUACGUUUAGAUAACUGUACAGUAAAUGAUAAAAAUGUAAAAAUAGCAAUGGGAAAAUUAAUUUAAUAUGUGAGUUUAGAUGGCUUAUAGUUAGUCAACUGCUUCUUAUAUUAAUAUUACUGCUUAGAUUACAUACAUAUAUGAUCAAAUUUCAAUAUGGCAACUUUUACCAUUGGUGAAAAAUGCAUGUUCAGGAAAUUUAGUAAUUACUGAAUCAGCAUUUUUACUGAAAUUUUUUUUUUUGAUGAAAUUAAUUGUAGCCCUUCAGACCCUGAAUUUUUUCUACCUUUAAGAAUGACUGUUCAGUACAUGAGAUGGCUUGACCACAACAAGUACUCCCUUUCUUUUAUUGCCAGGGCAGUUGGUUGGCACCUCAGGUACACUAUAUACUAACAUGUCUUGGCAAUAUUGUUUAAGAAAGGUCAUUUGUUAACAGAAAUCAUCCGAGUUAGCCUAAAAAGGACUGUUGGCACUGUGUAAUUAUAUAAUGCAUGCAAGAACAGACAAAUGCGAGUCUGUGUGAGGUGGGGGCUUCUUUUUACGCAAAAAAGGGUGAAUUCUACAUUGAGCAUGGCUGAUAAAGUAAUACAAAGCUGAUAGGCAAAAUGUGGUGGUUUCACUCUUGUUGUGCAGUACAGUGUAACUAGUAUGUAAACAACCAGGGCUCUGUUACUCGAAAGCAUCGUAAUUGCGACUGGGCGCAAGAGUCUCUAUUCCAUAACUUGGCAUUUACUCGCUCCAUGUAAUAGCCUUGAAAUGAAAGGUGAUAUCGCUAUUGCAAUUCGCUUUCGAGUUACGGAGCCCAGAGUAAUAUCGGUUGGCAAAUUCAAAUCAUUUCAUGUGGCACCACAUUUGCCAGCCUGUCAGUAUUUUACCACAAACUUCACCUAAUUUUACAUCGAGUCAACAGAUUUUGGCUGUCUGUGUUGAUUCACAUUGCAUUUAUUCGAUAUAACUUUCAUUAAAAAAUGACAAAGAUCCCACAUUUUACAAAAUGCUGCCAACUUUUUAAAAAAUAUUUAGUUACUUAAAAAGAUGUACUGUUUGACAUAAACCGGACUGACCAUUAAUGAUGUCUUGAUCAGGAAUUUCUUGCUCAUUUUUUGAAGUGAAAAUUUUCAUGAAUUAUUUGGAGUAAUAACCAUUUCCUUUUAUUAUAAUUUCACUAUUGUAUACUUAUUUUGAAAUUUUUGAUUAGAUUACUGUCACUGAAUCAGCUAAAUGUUUCUUUAAACUUUGUAUAGUUGUAACUUGUUUUGUGUUAAAAUGAUACUUAGAUGGAGUACGUUGUAAAAUGUUGAACUUUGUAAGAAGAGAAAAUCACUCACAGCCAGUAUUUUGGCUUUGAAUGCAACCAAACAGGGUCAGGUUUUGCCACUGAAUGUGGAUAAUGCACCAGACUAUUACCUCAAGAUAUAGCUGAAUUCAGGUGUAAUCGCCAGCUGAGUUUAAUUGAUUACAAACAAAAUGUGUACACCAAAGAAUUCUCAGUUCUUUUUCUAACGAGUCUUUAGUCAUUGUGAAAGAAACCUUUGUAUGAGGAACUUGUAAUGAAGUAUUGAUAAACAUUCUUUUGUUGUAUUAAUUCUUUGCAGUGAUCAAAUUUUAUGGAGAUUUGCAACCUUUAUGAUUUUCAUAGGACAAAAUACACUAGUGUAACUGGGAUUUUGCUGAUGUGGAAGGGGGGGGGCACUAUUUGUUUACCUUUCUUUGCUUGGGAAAUUAAUAAAUAAUGGUUGAAGACGACAACUUUACUAUUAGGUUUGGCCGAGUGGGUGAGUUCCUUCAAAGCAUUGGGG
rnacentral:misc_RNA from 1 species